UUUUAUCAAGGAAGAAGAUCUGACGGUACUUGAUGAAUAAGCCACGGCUAAUUCCGUGCCAGCAGCCGCGGUAAUACGGGAGUGGCAAGCGUUAUCCGGAAUUAUUGGGCGUAAAGCGUCCGCAGGCGGCCCUGUAAGUCUGUCGUUAAAGCGUGGAGCUUAACUCCAUUUCAGCGAUGGAAACUACAGGGCUUGAGUGUGGUAGGGGCAGAGGGAAUUCCCGGUGUAGCGGUGAAAUGCGUAGAUAUCGGGAAGAACACCAGUGGCGAAGGCGCUCUGCUGGGCCAUAACUGACGCUCAUGGACGAAAGCCAGGGGAGCGAAAGGGAUUAGAUACCCCUGUAGUCCUGGCCGUAAACGAUGAACACUAGGUGUCGGGGGAAUCGACCCCCUCGGUGUCGUAGCCAACGCGUUAAGUGUUCCGCCUGGGGAGUACGCACGCAAGUGUGAAACUCAAAGGAAUUGACGGGGGCCCGCACAAGCGGUGGAGUAUGUGGUUUAAUUCGAUGCAACGCGAAGAACCUUACCAGGGUUUGACAUCCUGCGAAUCUCUUGGAAACGAGAGAGUGCCUUCGGGAACGCAGUGACAGGUGGUGCAUGGCUGUCGUCAGCUCGUGUCGUGAGAUGUUGGGUUAAGUCCCGCAACGAGCGCAACCCACGUCGUUAGUUGCCAGCAUUUAGUUGGGCACUCUAGCGAGACCGCCGGUGAUAAACCGGAGGAAGGUGUGGAUGACGUCAAGUCAUCAUGCCCCUUACAUCCUGGGCUACACACGUACUACAAUGCUACGGACAAAGGGCAGCAAACUCGCGAGAGCUAGCAAAUCCCAUAAACCGUGGCUCAGUUCAGAUCGUAGGCUGCAACUCGCCUACGUGAAGGAGGAAUCGCUAGUAAUCGCAGGUCAGCAUACUGCGGUGAAUACGUUCCCGGGCCUUGUACACACCGCCCGUCACACCAUGG
rnacentral:rRNA from 1 species